rnacentral:rRNA from 1 species
UGGAGGAAAGCAGGGGAUCGUAAGACCUUGCGCUUUUGGAGCGGCCGAUGUCUGAUUAGCUAGUUGGUGGGGUAAUGGCCUACCAAAGCUUCGAUCAGUAGCUGGUCUGAGAGGACGGCCAGCCACACUGGGACUGAGACACGGCCCAGACUCCUACGGGAGGCAGCAGUGGGGAAUUUUGGACAAUGGGCGCAAGCCUGAUCCAGCCAUGCCGCGUGAGUGAAGAAGGCCUUCGGGUUGUAAAGCUCUUUCAGCCGGGAAGAAAAGGCUGCGACUAAUAAUCGCAGUUCAUGACGGUACCGGAAGAAGAAGCACCGGCUAACUACGUGCCAGCAGCCGCGGUAAUACGUAGGGUGCGAGCGUUAAUCGGAAUUACUGGACGUAAAGGGUGCGCAGGCGGUUUUGUAAGUCAGAUGUGA